rnacentral:rRNA from 1 species
AACGAACGCUGGCGGCAGGCUUAACACAUGCAAGUCGAGCGCAUCCUUCGGGGUGAGCGGCGGACGGGUGAGUAACGCGUGGGAACGUGCCCUCUUCUACGGAAUAGCCCAGGGAAACUUGGAUUAAUGCCGUAUACGCCCGAAAGGGGAAAGAUUUAUCGGAGGAGGAUCGGCCCGCGUUGGAUUAGGUAGUUGGUGGGGUAAUGGCCUACCAAGCCGACGAUCCAUAGCUGGUUUGAGAGGAUGAUCAGCCACACUGGGACUGAGACACGGCCCAGACUCCUACGGGAGGCAGCAGUGGGGAAUCUUGGACAAUGGGGGAAACCCUGAUCCAGCCAUGCCGCGUGAUCGAUGAAGGCCUUAGGGUUGUAAAGAUCUUUCAGCUGGGAAGAUAAUGACGGUACCAGCAGAAGAAGCCCCGGCUAACUCCGUGCCAGCCGCCGCGGUAA